rnacentral:rRNA from 1 species
GAUGAACGCUAGCUACAGGCUUCCUACAUGCAAGUCGAGGGGCAUCAGGGUGUAGCAAUACACCGCUGGCGACCGGCGCACGGGUGAGUAACACGUAUCCAACCUGCCCUUUACUCGGGGAUAGCCUUUCAAAAGAAAGAUUAAUACCCGAUGGUAUAACAUGACCUCCUGGUUUUGUUAUUAAAGAAUUUCGGUAGAGGAUGGGGAUGCGUUCCAUUAGGCAGUUGGCGGGGUAACGGCCCACCAAACCUUCAAUGGAUAGGGGUUCUGAAAGGAAGGUCCCCCACAUUGGAACUGAAACACGGUCCAAACUCCUACGGGAGGCAGCAGUGAGGAAUAUUGGUCAAUGGACGAAAGUCUGAACCAGCCAUGCCGCGUGAAGGAUGAAGGUCCUCUGGAUUGUAAACUUCUUUUAUCUGGGACGAAAAAAGGUCAUUCCUGACCACUUGACGGUACCAAAGGAAUAAGCACCGGCUAACUCCGUG